UAGUUUGAUCCUGGCUCAGGACGAACGCUGACGGUGUGCUUUAGACAUGCAAGUCGAACGAGAAAGCCCUUCGGGGUGAGUAAAGUGGCGAACGGGUGCGUAACACGUGGGUAAUCUACCCCUCGCAGAGGGACAACCGGGGGAAACCCCGGCUAAUACCUCGUACGCUCUACAAACCGCAUGGUAAGUAGAGGAAGGGUAGCUUCGGCCAUCCGGCGAGGGAUGAGCCCGCGGUACAUUAGCUAGUUGGUGAGGUAACGGCUCACCAAGGCUACGAUGUAUAGCUGGUCUGAGAGGAUGAUCAGCCACACUGGGACUGAGACACGGCCCAGACUCCUACGGGAGGCAGCAGUCGGGAAUCUUGCACAAUGGGCGAAAGCCUGAUGCAGCAACACCGUGUGAGCGAUGAAGGCCUUCGGGUCGUAAAGCUCUGUUGUUAGGGACGAAGGGCGAAGGGUUAAUAGCCCCUAGCUUGACGGUACCUUUCGAGGAAGCCCCGGCUAACUACGUGCCAGCAGCCGCGGUAAUACGUAGGGGGCGAGCGUUGUCCGGAAUUAUUGGGCGUAAAGAGCGUGUAGGCGGCCAGAUAAGUCUGCUGUGAAACCUUGGGGCUCAACCCCAAGCGUGCAGUGGAUACUGUUAGGCUAGAGGAUGGUAGAGGCGAGUGGAAUUCCCGGUGUAGCGGUGAAAUGCGCAGAUAUCGGGAGGAACACAGUAGCGAAGGCGGCUCGCUG
rnacentral:rRNA from 1 species